rnacentral:tRNA from 1 species
GCGGCAGUAGCUCAGUGGAAGAGCCCCGGCUUCGGAAGCGGGGAGACCUGGGUUCGAUUCCCGGUUGCUUCC